rnacentral:rRNA from 1 species
CCUACGGGAGGCAGCAGUGAGGAAUAUUGGUCAAUGGACGAGAGUCUGAACCAGCCAAGUAGCGUGAAGGAUGACUGCCCUAUGGGUUGUAAACUUCUUUUAUAAAGGAAUAAAACGAGGCACGUGUGCCUUUUUGCAUGUACUUUAUGAAUUAGGAUCGGCUAACUCCGUGCCAGCAGCCGCGGUAAUACGGAGGAUCCGAGCGUUAUCCGGAUUUAUUGGGUUUAAAGGGAGCGUAGAUGGGUUGUUAAGUCAGUUGUGAAAGUUUGCGGCUCAACCGUAAAAUUGCAAUUGAUACUGGCAGUCGUGAGUACAGUUGAGGUAGGCGGAAUUCGUGGUGUAGCGGUGAAAUGCUUAGAUAUCACGAAGAACCCCGAUUGCGAAGGCAGCUUACUAAACUGUGACUGACAUUGAUGCUCGAAAGUGUGGGUAUCAAACAGGAUUAGAUACCCCAGUAGUC